rnacentral:rRNA from 1 species
GAUGAACGCUGGCGGCGUGCUUAACACAUGCAAGUCGAACGGUGAAGGCGGAGCUUGCUCUGCUGGAUCAGUGGCGAACGGGUGAGUAACACGUGAGCAAUCUGCCCCUGACUCUGGGAUAAGCGCUGGAAACGGCGUCUAAUACUGGAUACGAGCUGCGAAGGCAUCUUCAGCAGCUGGAAAGAACUUCGGUCAGGGAUGAGCUCGCGGCCUAUCAACUUGUUGGUGAGGUAACGGCUCACCAAGGCGUCGACGGGUAGCCGGCCUGAGAGGGUGACCGGCCACACUGGGACUGAGACACGGCCCAGACUCCUACGGGAGGCAGCAGUGGGGAAUAUUGCACAAUGGGCGAAAGCCUGAUGCAGCAACGCCGCGUGAGGGACGACGGCCUUCGGGUUGUAAACCUCUUUUAGCAGGGAAGAAGCGAAAGUGACGGUACCUGCAGAAAAAGCGCCGGCUAACUACGUG